ACCAACACAGCUAGCAUUAGCGCCACCAGCACCACCCAUCAAACCCAGCACUACUGCCAGUACCAGCUAGCUAGCUUAGGCUUGCAGCUACUGCUGACGCCUAGAUUUCAAGCUUGUGAUUUGCCUGCAUACUCAAGCUAAGCUUCUCAUGGCGCCCGCGUCGAAGGUCAUGAACCACAUCAUCCAGGACGGCGGCAUUGCCACCUACGCCGUCUACGCUGCGCCAUGUGGCGCCUGGUGCGGCGGGCGGCAAAGGAAGGCCGAGACGGACGGCGACGACGACGAUGACGACUAUGACUGCGCCCCUGCCGCCUGAAGUGUACGUACGUUCGUACAUGGUCGCUGGCGAAACGAAUCAGGAACCUGCCCGUCAAGAGCUAGUAUAUAGUAUUUGCGAACUGAUCGCUGCUGCUGUGUAUGCUAAUUCGAUCUCAAGCACGUAGGUACGUAUAUGUGUACGUGUGCUUACAGCUACUUACUUAUGAAUGUAUCCCCCCCCCCCCCCCCCCNNNN
rnacentral:lncRNA from 1 species